UCUAUCUGGAGAUCACUCCUCUUGGAGUCCUUCUAUGAGCCCAGGACACGGGUUGUCGCCUGGCAUGAUCAUGAAGCAGUAACAGAUCACUAACUAGUUCUUCCAAAAAACCAGGAAUGCCUCCAGCUGCUCCAUUGUUUUCUUGCCCUUUGUUGGUGCCUGAACCUGCCCCUGUCCCACAGUGCCAGGUGAGCUUCUUCCUGAACCAGAACAUCUCACUGGCUCGGCAGAGGACUGAUGUUAUAGGUCAGCCAGAACAGCAGCACAAGGAAGAGAGCCCAGCAAAGGAUGGAGAAGGCAGGAUGAGGAGUAGGCAGAGAGGGAGGGAAUUCAGCAGGGAGCAGUAUGGCUCCAGGCUCAGUCACAAGCAUCUUCUGACAGCUCAGCAGAAGAACCGCAUGUUUAUUGAAAGUCAAAACCUACCCACUUUCUGACUUCUUUUAUUUUUAGAGGAGAAUGAGACAAACAGCUAUAAGACUUCCCUCCCUCCAUCCCCACUAUCAUGAGGGGGGUGAUGAAGAGAUAAAAAAAACCUACCCGCCAGCCUUGGUAACUGGUUUGUUUCCGUAGGCUCCCAGCUCAUCACCUUGAAAUGGCCUGAAGUCUCUGCAGCUUCCUGGCAGAGUCCCAGUACAUCUCCUGAGGCUCAUCCAAACCUGGGGGAAAAAGCAAAAGGAUGAAAAUAAACCACACUACAGAUUCCAGUCAGAUGUUCCCUUUUAAAUACAGGAUUGACAAAUAAUCAGUAUCAAAGCACAUCAGUGACCACAUUGUUCAGGCUUGCAUUUGGGAGUGCUUUCCAAUUAAAAGCAAAUCACUGAAUGAGACUUUCAAAUUGGUUUUGGUGAAGAAGAAGAAAUGAAGGGAAGCUACUUGAGAUCUGACAAUAGCUGAAGUGAUUUGUAAGCAUGAAGCAUGUGAGAUAACAUUUAAUUAACAGCAGCAAAAAUAGAACAUCGCUUUGAAUUUACGUACGUUCUCUUGUUCCAUGUAUGCGCAAUGCCCUUUCUUUAAGUUUCUCUUCUCACAAAACUGUAUUAACCCUCCAUUCCUGAAGAUAAUACUUCCCUCACAGGCUGUACAGCAUUUCUUACACUUUCAGAAGUUUCAUACUCACUUAGAGGGUUUGCCCCAGGCUGUAUCUCAACCCAGCAUCAUUUUCCUUAAAGCUGUGAAAGUAACUGUAUCUGAUGUGACAAAUAAUCCUUAACAUUUGUUAAGACUGUGCACAAGUUGCUUAAUGACUUCUGGAUUUGAAACAUCUCUGUGAUUUUGCCAAGCAAUAUCUCCAGAGCACAUGCAAACCUGGUGAUGACCCUGGGUCCUCUGGUUAGUAGAGCCACACAAGGCAAGUUUUUGGCAGCUGAUCCAUUUUGAGUGUUAGUUCCAGGGAAGCCUGAACCACUGUUCCUGGGCACUGCUCCUCUUCACUGAACAAUAAGCACAUCCUGACACUGCAGGUGGCUCCAGUCAUAGAGAUCAUUCAGCGUAUUUGAACUGGAGAAGGUGUUGUCUCAAAGCACACUUCCUGGGUCCCUGUGUUUGUAUACCCACUGCCUCUCCUGAACAUCACAUGAACAUGUACACAUGUCCCAGCAUCAUUCCAGUGGCCACUACAGACAGGAAACCGCUUCCCAACAUGGAGGCUGCAGCUUAUGCUGUGUGUUGUGAUGGCAUCCCUGUCUGCAUCUGUCCUACAUCAGAAUGUCAACAUUAAGAUGCCACUGAAGUAACUGUGAUAGAAGUCAAGGAUGCCUUCUUCAGCAUCACUGGUAGACUGUCUCCAUUUACAUUGAGACUGAGUAAGCUGCUGCUCACCAGAGACACCAUUACUGCACAUCUGUACAGGAACGGUCUUGUGCAGCUUUGAAGCCAGCACCCUCAGUUCUGCUGAGGUUCUCUCCAGCAAGGACAAGCCUGUGAGGCUGGAGACCACAAUGUGCUCAGAGCUGUCACCCUUGGGUGCUCCUGCAAGGCUCCCAGUAAGGGGCUGACAUUUGCACCCAAACCCACUUCAGUUUCUGAAGAACCAGAAUUUCUCCAUGGUCGUGGUUCCAUCUUUCUCUGCUUCACUAUGAGCCUUCCCACCAGUCUCCCCUACUGAUUUUCUGCUAAAGUUUAAAAACCCAUAAGCAACCUCCACACAGCUUACUCUGUGCCCCAGACCAGGCUGCUUGUUUCUGUUGCUUCUGUUACAAAUACACGCUAGUUCAGCUAUGGUGUCCUCUUUCUUUUUUUUGGUGAAGU
ensembl:lncRNA